UCCUUCUUCUCCGUCAAAACUCACCACCAUAUAUCUCCGUGUUUCCAUAGAAAAUCUCUACUUCACUUGAAACACCAACACCACCAAAACCAUCACCACUACCAAAUCCAUUUAUGAACUGCCACCACCGUCAUCUGCAUCAGCACCACCAUAACCACCACCUUCUUUUCUUCCUCUCUUUACAACCACCACCGUCAUUUUUAGUCGAUUUAGAGAAGAAGAAUUUUGAUCAAUUCGAUCAAUAUCAUGGAAUAUUAUUCACUACAAAGAUUUGGCUGCUACUAGAGAGAGUAGAGAAUGACUUCAAUAAAGUAAUAAACCCGCAGUGGUUGGUUAAGGCUGUUAAGGAAGCCUCUACUUCGGAGUGGGAGAUGAUGACUUAUUUGAGAACAACAUUUCUCGCUGUGGCUUCCAAAAAUCCAAGUAUGCGACAAUAGCCAUGCAUUGCAGUUGCCGUUAGUCUUACUCUGAAAUAAUCUUUGGUUGUGGUUGGGGAUGAAUUUACGAAAGUGGGAUGUCCGUUGUUUUUCUUUCCAUGAGACCAUAUAAAGCUGGAAUAUGGUAUUAUGUCUCUCACUUACACCCCUUAUUCACUUUGAAAUGAGUUUUUGUGUCUGUUCGUUGAUUAGUGCCACGUAUUUUAUUGUUUUUUCCUUCCAUUAGCUUUGUUUAUAGUUCCCAGGAUUUAGUAAGAAAAAGUGUGAUUUCCCAUUCUAGACUACCCUGCAAGUGAUAUGUUUGCAGUUGUCACAGCAAUGAAUGACGAAAUUUAUAAUCUUCUUAGGUUUAUUCUUGAAUGCACAUUUAUGCAUUUAUUCUUGAAAAUGCCUGCGAAGUUGGAACCAAUUUAAUAAAUGAUUCACCACACAAACUCGGUACCCAUGUCUCACUAAAUCCCCUCCAGUUGAACGACAUGUUCCACGGCAUAUAAGAGUUUUUUCAUAGGCUGUACUUUUCAUUUCGUGCUCAUGGUUGAUUUUCAUAAGGUUUAGUCGAUGAUGUGCUACUGAUAGAAAGAACGGCAGACUUUGUUAGGAUACACGAAGUGAAGUCUUUUAGUGUGGACGAUCCCCAGAGAGUUGGCAGGUAUAGUUCGGAUAGGUUUUCUGUAUGAUUGAUUCAGUUUCGAUGAAAGGCUUCUCGAGUAUCCAAAGGGAUACCCCAAAUAUGGUGACAGAAAAACUUAUCCAAUUUUACAAUUGGGUGUUUGUUAUCUUGUUGAACAGUCUUAUUUUGCAUUUUAAUUCACUACUAAUAUUUAUGUAAGAGAAACAAUUUUAAUUCACUGCUAAUUUUUGUGUAAGAGAAAGUACAUUGGCUAACUGGGGUAGCAGAGUGUCAUCUUUCUGCGAACAUGGAAGAUAAAUGUGAAAAAGCUAUGGUUUGCCGACGUGCAACGCACGUGCACUCCACUUGUGAUUGGUAGAGAAAGGUUUUUUGUUGAUAGAGAAUUAAUUUCAAGGAUUACCAAAAUCCCGUUGGGGAACGUACGGCUUCCUAGAACAAGUGAUGAACGUCCAUCAUGUGAUGA